rnacentral:rRNA from 1 species
ACGCUCGACACCUACGGGAGACAGCAGUGGGGAAUAUUGCACAAUGGGGGAAACCCUGAUGCAGCGACGCCGCGUGAGUGAAGAAGUAUUUCGGUAUGUAAAGCUCUAUCAGCAGGGAANAAAAUGACGGUACCUGACUAAGAAGCCCCGGCUAACUACGUGCCAACAGCCGCGGUAAUCUGAGCGGGCUGGCAAGGC